UAAAGGGGUGGCAAUGUUUGUGAUUCGGUCCGAGGCAAAGCAUUCUGUUUAGAAACGAGCCAGUGCCCCUUUAAUGUUAUAGUCGUCCUAGAAAAACAUACACAAAAAGGAAACAGAAGGACAAACAUCAAAGAGGUCCCUCGACUCUACACAAGGUACAGCAGCCUGAAGCCGGUGA